rnacentral:rRNA from 1 species
CUACGGGUCGCUGCAGUGAGGAAUAUUGGUCAAUGGGCGCAAGCCUGAACCAGCCAAUCCGCGUGCAGGAUGACUGCCCUAUGGGUUGUAAACUGCUUUUAUACAGGAAGAACCCUCCAUACGUGUAUGGGGUUGACUGUACUGUAAGAAUAAGCAUCGGCUAACUCCGUGCCAGCAGCCGCGGUAAUACGGAGGAUGCGAGCGUUAUCCGGAUUUAUUAGGUCUAAAGGGUGCGUAGGCGGAUAAUUAAGUCAGUGGUGAAAUCCUACAGCUUAAUUGUAGAACUGCCAUUGAUACUGGUUGUCUUGAGUUUAGUUGAGGUAAGCGGAAUGUGUAGUGUAGCGGUGAAAUGCUUAGAUAUUACACAGAACACCGAUUGCGAAGGCAGCUUACUAAGCUACAACUGACGCUGAGGCACGAAAGCGUGGGGAGCGAACAGGAUUAGAUACCCGCGUAGUC